rnacentral:rRNA from 1 species
GCUUACGGCCACACCUCCCUGAGCACGCUCGAUCUCGGAAGCUAAGCAGGGUCGGGCCCGGUUAGUACUUGGAUGGGAGACCGCCUGGGAAUACCAGGUGCUGUAAGCC